CCCUUAGAUGUCCGGGGCCGCACGCGCGCUACACUGAAGGAAUCAGCGUGGCUUUCUCCCUGACCCGAAAGGGUUGGGAAACCCGUUGAAUCUCCUUCGUGAUAGGGAUUGGGGCUUGAAAUUGUUCCCCAUGAACGAGGAAUUCCCAGUAAGCGCGAGUCAUAAGCUCGCGUUGAUUACGUCCCUGCCCUUUGUACACACCGCCCGUCGCUACUACCGAUUGAACGGUUUAGUGAGGGCCUCGGACUGGUCUCGGCCCGCUCUUUACCGGGCGGCGCCGUUGGUCGAGAAGACGCUCGAACUUGAUCGAUUAGAGGAAGUAAAAGUCGUAACA
rnacentral:rRNA from 1 species